UCGACGAUUUAAAAAGGGGGGGGUAGAUUGUGGCAGUAUGACUAUUUUAAGUACCUGUGCCUUUAAAUGGGCGGGCCGAUUUGUAUUGUAAUUCGUGGUAGCGCCCUAUAAAAAUGGCAGUGGUUGGCUGGGGGUCGAACGCUGGCAAGGUUCUUCCGGUUACCUGACUUCGUGGUAAAGAUCUGCAUACGACGGAUUUAUUGGAGGCGGCUGUUUGGCAACGUGGAGGGAGUUUAUCCGGCUGGUUGGAGAUCACUACGCCAUUAAGCAUUGCUGUUCUGCCUGCUUUUACAGCUGCGGUCUGGAUUGCCUGUCCUGCAGUUGCUGCUGCUUUGCCUCUUUGCCUCUGCUCUUGUUUUCUCUCCUUUUUUUUGUAUUGAAUGUGAGGGAUUUUAUCUUGUGUGUUUUAAGAUUCUUUGGGGUUGGGAUGCCAUAAGGGAGGAAGGGAACUUUGUGGUGGCAUGUUGUAUUGCGUGUAUGCAUGGGAAUUGUAGUGUUUUGUUUCAGGAUGCCAUCUGUUGUUUAACUGUUUAACCUCCUACCCUGUGUGGACCAGCCCCGAGGUUUUAUCUCGUCGUGUGGAUGGUGUUUUUAAUUUUGUUAUAAUAAAAGAUUGUAAGUGGA